AGUGGCGGACGGGUGAGUAACGCGUGAGAAUCUGCCUUGGGGUCGGGGACAACCACUGGAAACGGUGGCUAAUACCGGAUAAGCCGAUUGGUGAAAGAUUUAUUGCCCGAAGAGGAGCUCGCGUCUGAUUAGCUAGUUGGUGAGGUAAGAGCUCACCAAGGCAGCGAUCAGUAGCUGGUCUGAGAGGACGAUCAGCCACACUGGGACUGAGACACGGCCCAGACUCCUACGGGAGGCAGCAGUGGGGAAUUUUCCGCAAUGGGCGAAAGCCUGACGGAGCAAGACCGCGUGAGGGAGGAAGGCUCUUGGGCUGUAAACCUCUUUUCUCAGGGAAGAAGCUCUGACGGUACCUGAGGAAUCAGCCUCGGCUAACUCCGUGCCAGCAGCCGCGGUAAUACGGAGGAGGCAAGCGUUAUCCGGAAUUAUUGGGCGUAAAGCGUCCGCAGGUGGCGAUUCAAGUCUGCUGUCAAAGCACGGGGCUUAACUCCGUAAAGGCAAUGGAAACUGAAUAGCUAGAGUGCCGUAGGGGUAGAGGGAAUUCCCGGUGUAGCGGUGAAAUGCGUAGAGAUCGGGAAGAACAUCGGUGGCGAAAGCGCUCUACUGGACGGCAACUGACACUCAGGGACGAAAGCUAGGGGAGCGAAUGGGAUUAGAUACCCC
rnacentral:rRNA from 1 species